rnacentral:rRNA from 1 species
UCGAGAAUUUUUCUCAAUGGGGGCAACCCUGAAGGAGCGACGCCGCGUGGAGGAUGAAGGCUCUCGGGUUGUAAACUCCUGUCAUUUGGGAACAAGUUGUACGUAUUUACCGUACGUGCAUUGAUAGUACCAGAAGAGGAAGGGACGGCUAACUCUGUGCCAGCAGCCGCGGUAAUACAGAGGUCCCAAGCGUUGUUCGGAUUCAUUGGGCGUAAAGGGUGCGUAGGUGGCGCCGUAAGUCGGGUGUGAAAUUUCGGAGCUUAACUCCGAAACUGCAUUCGAUACUGCGGUGCUUGAGGACUGGAGAGGAGACUGGAAUUCAUGGUGUAGCAGUGAAAUGCGUAGAGAUCAUGAGGAAGACCAGUGGCGAAGGCGGGUCUCUGGACAGUUCCUGACACUGAGGCACGAAGGCCAGGGGAGCAAACGG